rnacentral:rRNA from 1 species
UACGGGGGGGGCAAGCGUUGUUCGGAAUUACUGGGCGUAAAGCGCACGUAGGCGGCUUUGUAAGUCAGGGGUGAAAUCCCGGGGCUCAACCCCGGAACUGCCCUUGAGACUGCAUCGCUUGAAUCCAGGAGAGGUGAGUGGAAUUCCGAGUGUAGAGGUGAAAUUCGUAGAUAUUCGGAAGAACACCAGUGGCGAAGGCGGCUCACUGGACUGGUAUUGACGCUGAG